rnacentral:misc_RNA from 1 species
AAGUCGUAACAAGGUCUCCGUAGGUGAACCUGCGGAAGGAUCAUUAACACGUAUCCAACGUUAAACCCCCCGUGAACCUUCAUUGUGCUCCCCCAUUCCGUUAGGACGCGGCAAUCCCUGGUAAAUCAUCGCCGAACAGUUUUGAUUCAGGGACCUCUGCAUGGAGUGGGCAGCAGCGCGAGGCAAGUGGCCUGGCAUUCGAAAGAAUGGCGCAGUAACGAUCGCUAGAGGCCGACACGGCCGGCGACCGGGUCACUGGGCUCACGCCCCCCUAUCACCUUUGCAUGAAAACGGGCCUGCGCUUAAUUGUGCGGCCACCAAACUCGAACAACUGUUAACAAUGGAUAUCUUGGUUCUC